UCUCUUCGUGAUGUUUUUAAAGAUUGUUGAUCUGAAUUCACAUUCUCGAUUUCCUGCCAUUGAGAGAUUUUUUUAGGUUCAAGUUUAUGUAUAUGUCGGCGCGGAUGAAUAAGGUUAUGAAAACACGUGCGCCGCACGUUGGAAGUGACGUAAUCGCACCACUCUGUGAGUCAGGCGAGGUGGGGACGGACCGGUCAACGUGUAUAUAAUGCUACGCCCGCUGCGGCGGAGCGGACUCGGUGUUCGACCUCUGCUCUGUCAACACCUCUUAAUUGUGACGUUAAUCACACCUGAGUCACCUUAUUUGUUUAAUAUUUAACUCUGUAGUUAAAUUAAUACCUUGUGUUUUUAUUGUUUUCUUUUCAUUUUAUUUAAAUUCUAUUUAUUGAUUUGAUAAUGAAUUAGACGUUUAUUAUUUACUUUUACUUAAUGAAUUUAACGUUAAUUGUAAACCUGAUUGACGCUUCUUAAUUUUGUUUCCAUAAACAAUCAAUUUAUUGUUAGUAGCAAUUACUAUUUGUGUUUCAUCAAUUCACUGGUUUGUGUUUUCGCCAAUCCUUAUUUUAUUCAUAAUUUAUUUGGUUGUGAAGUGAAUAAACUUUUAUGAACCUUUGUUAUAAUGAUGUAUUUUACUUUCAUGCCCAAGGCACAAGAGUCACCCAUUUUGUAACUGAUUUCGGCUGGCGCCGAAAUCAGAAGUGGGAUCACUAGUGGGGCUUCCUCAGCCUCAUCUGCCCAUACUGAAGGAGACAACCACGACGCCGGUGUGAACGAAAUGCUGUCCGCAUUGGCCUAUACCUGCAGGACCAACCAACCAAGCCGUAACUCCAAAGAGGCGACGGCGUUAGAUCGCGGCAGUAAUGUGCCGCGAUCGGCAGCCGAUUGACGUGCAUAUGUGGGUAGAGCGAAAGUUUUUAGGAACUCGCUCAUCGUGAGGUAUGUACAAACUGGAUUUAAAAAUUAAAAAGGCCGACCCAAAGCUCUCGUUAAUUAGUCACCAAUUCAGUUUGACAAGCGAGCAGCGUCAAUGACGACAUGAUCAGGAUUUAAAUGCCACAUAGCGCGACCAGCCGAAUCUAUCACCAGGGCAUAGAAUGUCUGGAGGCGAGUCAUGGAGAUGCUGUGGCGGCGGUCAUCGACUGUUUAAACAAUGAAUUUUUCCGACUGCGCAUUCUAUCUGGGCGUGAUGCUUUUGUGGCAAAAUCGAUUUCUGUAGCAGCCACAACCAAGCAUGUAGAACAAUCGAUGUAGAACGAGAGACUCGACUGGGAUAUAGUACGUGCCGUCGUAGAAGAUCAUGAGAUACCUUUUAGUGUUUUGAUGGGAUCCAGUAUGGAGCGGUGCAUCAGUUAAAAGAUUACUGUUUAGAUAUAACGAUACGUUUGUGAUAUUUCCGAGCGUCAAUUUAACGCAGGAGAUCCCAUUGAAAUUUCUGGCCAAGUAGCUCCAGCAGGCGCCAGAAAAUGGAGAUAAUCGACGGGCUGAUUAUCAAAGGAAUCUUUCAAGAGGGUAAAUCACAUUGUACUGGACGUGUGUGUGCGACGGACUGAAUUAAACAAAUGAGGUACCCAUUAAUUUUUCACUCUCAAGUUUCAGAUCGGACCGACGGAUUGUCGACAACUGCCUUUUGUCAAUUUGGACUUAGUUCAAGGACUUUGCCCAGUACCAAUCAAGAAAGAUUAUCUGCCGCGAACUGCCUUUAGUGUACCUGGCGGCCUUUGUUAGUACUAGAGAAUGUCUCAGCAGUGUCCCGAUGCACAGUAGUGUCUGGCUGCAUUGCCGCAACUUGGCCCACAUGGUCAAGAAAUAUUUUCUUUUGGUUUUUGCAGACUUUGGACAGGGAGAUGGUGGCGUUGUCCCGGUGUUAAGACCGUGAACGCAAGGAAAGGUUUGUUUUUUUUUUCAAACACCAAUCAAAAGUUUGGACGGCUGCAUCUCAAAUGGUGCAGUUCGUCCAAUGUCCUAGGAAAAUGCGAUGUCUUGAAGUUACCAGCAGUGCUCCUGAACGUCAAAAUGGUUCUUUCAGUAUCUUUGGAUUAGCAGGGUACUUUCAAGUGUUUAAUGCUGUUUUAGUGUGAUGCAUACACUCGCAGAGACGUAGUUCGUGUUGGGCUGCUGCGGAGAGCACAGAACGGAGAUGCCGAGUUGUUGGUGUCGGUGCUCUAAUGACAUGGACAAGCUGGAUUGACAGAAGGUAACGCAAGAGCUUCUGCAAUAGCCGCAUACCGAAACAACAACAACCUGCAGACUGUGCGGUGCUGCAGCGACUUCUGGUGCGAGCGGUGUCAGCUGCUCGCCUGCCUCUAGCGAUUGCAUUCUGCUGCUGCAUGCUUCGGGGAUGCCGAGCAGCGGAGCUUUGGAGCAGGGAGUGGAAUGUAAGUCAAAUUUCGAAAUAUUCAGGCACAGUCGAGGAGCAUAACGUGGUAACAAAUAAGCAAACAGUAUUGCGGAUCGAAGUCAACAAAAUUCGGUGCUACACGAAAACUCGAAGCCGAAUACAUCAACAGGUAAUUGGGCGCAGUAGGUGGAAGUAUCAAUGUUCAGCACUACUCUCCCGCUCAGACAGCUUGUAGGAAAUCUGAAGGUGGACUGCGGCCGACGUAUGUAAGUCUGAGCUCGUCAACAGAUAUCAUGACACUAUUUUGUCAUCGUAGGCUUACUGACGGUAUCAGCACUGCUCACUGAAUUGUGGUGGCUGGGAGAUGCCUCUUCUUCAGCAUAAGCAACUGUUUACUGGACGACGGCAUGCUGGUGCAGCGGCGCCAUGGGAGGACGGUGGUGCGUUGCAUCGAACGCUACGAUUUUGAUGCUUAUUGGUCCCGCGUAAGUAGGGGGUUUUUCUCCAGCAGUCGUUUGCCUGUUUCUCACCCUUGCAUCAUUGACAGGUAAUGACCGAGCGUUGCUUAUGUUCAUGCAGAAAUGUCCACAGUGUGUAUUCUUACAGUGGUCACGUGAGAUGGCUCGUAGCCACGUAGCGUAGCAUCCUCAGGUCCUUGAAGUCGUAAUUGGAUGUUGCUGUGUACAAAGCAUCACUCACGACGUUAUGCGCUUUUUCAAUCCAACUUGGGCGACCCGCUUGUGGGAGACCACCGGUUAGUGUAGAAACGAUGGUGGGUGAUUCCUUGUACGCAGUCACUGGUGAACCCACAUUAACUAUUAAAUGAUUUAAGUGCAUAUUGAGCUCGGUUAUAUUCAUACAACUAGCUUCUGCCAGCGACUUCGUCCGCGUUGGAUUUGGACUUGGUGCAAAGAGAGGCUAUCGACAGUUAAACGUGUUAUUGUGAGCCAGCCAUAAGAGACAGACGUGUGCUGUCCGGGUAUAUUUUUUACAUAAUUUUAAGGAGAACAUUUCCGUCAUACAUUGUUUUUGUGUGGCUUUAACCAUUAGGGCUGCACACGCGACGGAAGCAUAAAAGACGGAGUGACUUCUCCCGUUUUCCCAACAUUUACCUUUACUGCUCUGCUCCUAUUGACCAUAGCGUGAUGAAGAGUAUCCUAUAACCUGCCCAGGAGUACAGAGAAUCAUUGUACCAAGUUUCGUUGAAAUCCGUCAAGUAGUUUUCGUUCCCAUAACGAACAUACAGACAGACAGAUAGACAGACAGACAAAAAUUUUACUGAUUGCAUUUUUGGCAUCAGUAUCGAUCACUAAUCAAUCACCCCCUAAUAGUUAUUUUGGAAAUAUAUUCAAUGUACAGAAUUGACCUCUCUUCAGAUUUAUUAUAAGUAUAGAUAAAACAACAAGAUUUGAUAGUUUAUUUGCAGCAGUUGCAGGAAAUGCGCGCGAUGCGCAUCUAUCGACUGGCGGUUGAAGACUAGUGGUGGCACGGUGGCGGCGGAGAUGCGAGCGACAAGCAUAUCUACGCACCAUUCCCGGCCGUCGUGAAUAUAGUCGAGGGCGACCAUUGUGCAGAAUGGCCGUGUCGGCGCGGAUGAAUAAGGUUAUGAAAACACGUGCGCCGCACGUUGGAAGUGACGUAAUCGCACCACUCUGUGAGUCAGGCGAGGUGGGGACGGACCGGUCAACGUGUAUAUAAUGCUACGCCCGCUGCGGCGGAGCGGACUCGGUGUUCGACCUCUGCUCUGUCAACACCUCUUAAUUGUGACGUUAAUCACACCUGAGUCACCUUAUUUGUUUAAUAUUUAACUCUGUAGUUAAAUUAAUACCUUGUGUUUUUAUUGUUUUCUUUUCAUUUUAUUUAAAUUCUAUUUAUUGAUUUGAUAAUGAAUUAGACGUUUAUUAUUUACUUUUACUUAAUGAAUUUAACGUUAAUUGUAAACCUGAUUGACGCUUCUUAAUUUUGUUUCCAUAAACAAUCAAUUUAUUGUUAGUAGCAAUUACUAUUUGUGUUUCAUCAAUUCACUGGUUUGUGUUUUCGCCAAUCCUUAUUUUAUUCAUAAUUUAUUUGGUUGUGAAGUGAAUAAACUUUUAUGAACCUUUGUUAUAA